rnacentral:rRNA from 1 species
AUUGAACGCUGGCGGCAGGCCUAACACAUGCAAGUCGAGCGGAGCGGCGGGCGGGCGAGUAAGGAAUAGGAAUCGGCCUGGUCGUGGGGGAUAACGUCCGGAAACGGGCGCUAAUAACGCAUAGUAUCAGAUGGGCCUAGCUCGGAGUGGCUAGGAGGUGGGGUAAAGGCUACCCUAGGUGACGACCCCUAGCUGGUCGGAGGGGAUGACCAGCCAAACUGGAACUGAGACACGGUCCAGACUCCUACGUGAGGCAGCAGUGGGGAAUAUUGCACAAUGGGCGCAAGCCUGAUGCAGCCAUGCCGCGUGUAUGAAGAAGGCCUUCGGGUUGUAAAGUACUUUCAGCGGUGAGGCGUUACCCGCAGAAGAAGCACCGGCUAACUCCGUGCCAGCCGCCGCGGUAAUUC